UACGAGGGGUGCAAGCGUUGCUCGGAAUUAUUGGGCGUAAAGGGUAGGUAGGUGGUCUCAUUUGUCUGGGGUGAAAGCCUUGAGCUUAACUCAAGAAGUGCCCCAGAAACGGUGAGACUGGAGUCCUGGAGAGGGUCGUGGAAUUCCCGGUGUAGCGGUGGAAUGCGCAGAUAUCAGGAGGAACACCGGUGGCGAAGGCGGGUCUCUGGGCAGUAACUGACGCUGAGGAGCGAAAGCGUGGGGAGCGAACAGG
rnacentral:rRNA from 1 species